GGCACUGGAGUACCCAAAGAGAGGCGUCUCUAAUGGACCAGACAGAGUACAUCCUGUUUCAAGAGAUGUAUUCUGGAAGAGCGUCGAGUCAUGUAGGACCAUACAAGAGAAAAGAAUACAUCUUGUGUCAAGAGAUUUGCUGUGGAAGAAAAUCGAGUCCUGUAGGACCAUCGGAGAGAAAAGGUGAGAAAUUUGCAAUCUUGUUUGUUUUCUUUAUCUUUGAAAUUGACUGAAGUUAUUGGAAAGAUAUAAUGAGAGUCAGAAGACCAAGUAGUAGGCUAAAUGGCAGAGA